rnacentral:misc_RNA from 1 species
UGGCAACACAGGCUUUUGCUGACUAAAAGGAAUCCGAGGAUCCCCAUUUUGGACACCUCCAUUCUCUUGGGGAGUUGAAAAUACUCUCCCCGGAUUCAUCCUUCAAUUGUAAGUCUAUUCUUCUAGACUGUCUAAUUCAUCCCUCGGGUCUUCGCUUUCAACUGUUCAAGACGGGACAAUGUUUCAACUCCCUGAUUCACGAUCUUUAGCUGAGUACAGUUACCGGAGUGAAUUUGUUUAAGAACCAGUCAAUGCCGGAGAGCCUAAGUCAGUCUUCUGUUAAAAAAA